rnacentral:lncRNA from 1 species
CCUACCUGUCCUUGUUUCGAUUAUUUUUUACGACAUUGCUCUAGAAUCCUACUUAACCUUGUUUUUUUAAAUUUUUUAUGUUCUGGUACACAUUACAAUCUUUUGUAUACAAUUAGAUACUCCUAACACUACAAGCAAAACAACUGUAUAACAGUAAACUACUAUGCUACACUUUUAAGAUACUCCUAACACUACAAGCAAAGCAACUGUAUAACAGUAAAGGACACUAUGCUACACAGUUUUACUAAUAAUAAGAACACAAGACACAUUACAAUCUUUUGUAUACAAUUAGAUACUCCUAACACAACAAGCAAAACAACUGUAUAACAACAGUAAAGGACACUAUGCUACACUAUAAAGCAAGCAAAACAACUGUAUAACACUAAGAAGAUACUCCUAACACUACAAGCAAAACAACUGUAUAACAGUAAACUACUAUGCUAUACUAUUAAAAUACUCCUAACACUACAAGCAAAGCAACUGUAUAACACUAAAGGACACUAUGCUACACUGUUAAGAUACUCCUAACACAACAAGCAAAGCAACUAUAUAACAGUAAACUACUAUGCUACACUAUUAAG